rnacentral:rRNA from 1 species
GAGUUUGAUCAUGGCUCAGGAUGAACGCUAGCGGCAGGCUUAAUACAUGCAAGUCGAGGGGCAGCACGAAUAGCAAUAUUUGGUGGCGACCGGCAAACGGGUGCGGAACACGUACGCAACCUUCCCGAAACAGGUGAAUAGCCCUCCGAAAGGAGGAUUAAUACACCGUGAGAUAUAGAGAUGGCAUCAUUUUUAUAUUAUAGGUAGCAAUACCGGUUUUGGAUGGGCGUGCGCCUGAUUAGGUAGUUGGCGGGGUAACGGCCCACCAAGCCUUCGAUCAGUAACUGGUGUGAGAGCACGACCAGUCACACGGGCACUGAGACACGGGCCCGACUCCUACGGGAGGCAGCAGUAAGGAAUAUUGGUCAAUGGACGGAAGUCUGAACCAGCCAUGCCGCGUGAAGGAUGAAGGCCCUCUGGGUUGUAAACUUCUUUUAUCUGGGACGAAAAAAGGGAAUUCUUUCUCACUUGACGGUACCAGAGGAAUAAGCACCGGCUAACUCCGUGCCAGCAGCCGCGGUAAUACGGAGGGUGCAAGCGUUAUCCGGAUUUACUGGGUUUAAAGGGUGCGUAGGUGGGUAAGAAAGUCAGUGGUGAAAUCUCCGGGCUUAACCCGGAGACUGCCAUUGAUACUAUUUAUCUUGAAUACUUUGGAGGUAAGCGGA